UACGAAGGGUGCAAGCGUUACUCGGAAUCACUGGGCUUAAAGCGCGUGUAGGUGGGGCGGAACGUCGGCCGUUGAAAGCCCCCGGCUUAACCGGGGAAGCGGCGCCGAUACGACCGCCCUCGAGGGACGUAGGGGGAGCUGGAACUUCCGGUGGAGCGGUGAAAUGCGUUGAGAUCGGAAGGAACGCCCGUGGCGAAAGCGAGCUCCUGGACGUUUUCUGACACUGAGACGCGAAAGCCAGGGGAGCGAACGGG
rnacentral:rRNA from 1 species